rnacentral:rRNA from 1 species
CCUACGGGUGGCAGCAGUGAGGAAUAUUGGUCAAUGGACGAGAGUCUGAACCAGCCAAGUAGCGUGAAGGAUGACUGCCCUCUGGGUUGUAAACUUCUUUUAUAUGGGAAUAAAAUGUUCCACGUGUGGGAUUUUGUAUGUACCAUAUGAAUAAGGAUCGGCGAACUCCGUGCCAGCAGCCGCGGUAAUACGGAGGAUCCGAGCGUUAUCCGGAUUUAUUGGGUUUAAAGGGAGCGUAGGUGGAUUGUUAAGUCAGUUGUGAAAGUUUGCGGCUCAACCGUAAAAUUGCAGUUGAAACUGGCAGUCUUGAGUACAGUAGAGGUGGGCGGAAUUCGUGGUGUAGCGGUGAAAUGCUUAGAUAUCACGAAGAACUCCGAUUGCGAAGGCAGUUCACUGGACUGCAACUGACACUGAGGCUCGAAAGUGUGGGUAUCAAACAGGAUUAGAUACCCUAGUAGUC